rnacentral:lncRNA from 1 species
UGGACAAGAGCUCGAGAUACCGAAGGCUGUCACGCUGACCCUCUGCCCUCACUAAAAGGCCACUGAGCUGUUAAACACUUAAGCUAUCUGUGGAUGGCAAAGCUAAAACAGCACUGCCUAUAAUACUCCUUUUGGUGUUUUGAGGAGUCAUAUGUACUCCCAUAGAUGCUGCCACGGGGCCUGCAUGAAGUUUUGCUCCUGUUGCCACCCAGAAUCACUCGCCCCAGCUCCUGCACCCACUCAGCUGUGUUCGCCCUCCUGCGAGGAGUAGAGUGUGGUGGGUCCGAGCUAGUGAAGCCGGCUGAAGCAACCGGCUAGCUCCAGUGCCUGCAUUUCAGUUUCUGCCUGCAAAGCAGUCAGGAAAAUUGUCCUGCUUCAAAACUAAACGUAUGGAUAUUAAACCCAGGCUGAGGUAACUCCAUGUGACUGGCUAAAAAAAACAAAAACAAAAAAAAUUUAUUUAAAGAUAAUUGCUUAAUCUAGAUCACAGGUAUAUCUGAGAUUUUCAUGGAUGAAAAUUCCUACUGAUUUGAUAUCCAUAGGCAAUUUUUUUUAAACACGUGACACAAUUCACCUAUGUGUGGUAACAUUAUGAGAAAACAGCUGAAAAUUCAGAUUAUGAAGACUUUAUUCUUAAAACAUGUGAAAUAAAUAAAUAAAUAAAUAAAUAAUUGGACUACAUGAGCUGAUACUCAUGUAGUUGGUGUUGGAACAUCAGUUGUGAAAUAUCAGUUGUGAACAAUAAUCUUGUGUAGCGUUUGGGGAAAGCUCCACUGGAAAAAUCUCAACACAUUUCUUUAGGUUUACAAAGAAAGGCCAUGGCAUCUACAGAGAAUAAUUAUACGCCAUUUGAAAACCAAUUCCUGAAUUUCUAUUAGGCUCUGAUAAAGAUGGAAUUCCUUAGUAUUAGACACUAGUUGCCCGUGUAUCCAGAACUGCUCAUUAUGACCUCAGCACUUUCAGAACUUCAAAGACUUAGUGCUCAGGGGAUAUAAAAAUAAUGCAUUGUAUGCCGGAAGGGAUAAAUCUGGGGCUGAGUACAAGCAAAACAAGACCAAAGGAAGCUACCUGAGCAGGUAUUCCAGAUACUCAUGUCAUACACCAAGGUUGUACCAGUGCCCCUUUCUCUGUGACACAUCCAUCCACUGGAAACUUUCGUACAACUAGCUGAAAGAAGAGAAACAUCCUAUUUCAUGUCACUGGAGCCCUAAUGAUCGCAGCCAUUUCAGGAAAUGCCAUCAAUUACAGUGAGGAGCUCAUUCAGAAGUGAAAGAUGAGUUCCAUUCUCUGUUACUUAGAGGGUUUCCUCUCUGGCACUAUAAGGU